GAACAGCAAAACCAUUCAAGCAAAUUUACAACUUUAAUCAUAUUAUAGAUUUUCAUUGCAUACGAAUCUAGCAUGCUAAAAAGAUUUUCAUAACUAUUCUGCAUAAUAAGUUAGCUUACAGAUUCAGAUUGAAGCUGAAUUGGAAGCUGCUGCUGCAAACUGAGAAAUUGGAUAGACAUCUUAGCCAUUUCUGAGAUGGCAGCAUCUCUGAUUGAAGGUACAUCACUCAUCAAAUGUUCAUAGGCAGCAUGAAAUG
rnacentral:lncRNA from 1 species